rnacentral:lncRNA from 1 species
AGCAAGUGAUCCGUGGGCGCAACUUUGUUGUUGACAUAGAGAGUUGUUCCCAUGAAAACUUGUUUUGUUUUGGAAAGUUUAUGAAGAAAUGGAGGGAAAUAAUUAAGAUAAGAGCCGUAUGUAAAUCUUUUGGAAUUGACUUAUUAAAUUCUUGGCAAAGCCAUCAGGAGAUUAUCCCGUUAGCAGAGUCAAGGUCUAGACAGCGACUUUGUGCAGAGCUGCUCGUCUCUGUACUGCAUUGUUUUCUUCAUUUGCUUGCUCGGUGUAUGAUGUAUUGUGGGCCCAUGGUAUGAUUUAUCAUGGAUAGCAAAGCAGUGUCAUGUAUUCCAAUACUAUCUGUUUCAGUUCAUGCUUCUGAUGACAAAAUUGAAAAUAAUCAAUCAUACUUAAAUACAGCCCAAAUGAAAGGCGUCACACAAACAAAAAACCACAUCACAGGUUAAAAUAGCUUUGGCAGAGUACAGGCAGCACACUGUUCACCAUCGGUAAAGAGGCAGUGCUUUUAUCUUGUGGUGACACGGAGGUCCUUAGUAGCCCUGUGAGUUGCUGGUCUGGUAACCAGUGUGUUGGUGAAGUGUCGUCUCCACUCAUUUACCCUCCAUCAGUAAGGGAAUAUCAGCACUGCAAAUGUGCUGUAAUGUGAUAGGUAAUUAGAACCAUCCUGAUAUUUUAUGUUGCAUAUAGUUUAAAUAUUAAUUUGUAAUUGUGAAUGGCCACACAUGUUAGGAAUUUUAUGCAGCUUUUAAAUAAAAAAUAUUUUUGCAUGAAUUUAUUUGAGUUUGGAAGCAGGGCAUGCGCUUCCCGGCACCCACGCGGAGGUCAGAGGCACCCACGCAGAGGUCAGAGGCACCCACGCGGAGGUCAGAGGCACCCACGCGGAGGUCAGAGGCACCCACACGGAGGUCAGAGGCUGACUUUGGGCGUGGCUUCUCCCCUCGCACCACUGGGAUCUGGAAGAUUGAAUUCAGAUCUCUCUCGAGGAUGGCAGAGGUACCACAAACACUAGCUUCUGGCUCUGUUAGUAGGCGUCUACAUGACCCAGGAACUCAGUCUCAGGUCUUCUCAUGUAACAGGCUGGCACUUUCAUGUGAUGACCCAAGAGGGACAACAGAUUUGCUUUUGCUCUGGUUAUUUAAGUCCACAAAUGUUCCAGGAUAGAAGCUGGAGCAGGGUAGAUGCUAAACAAGUUGUUGAUAAAUACAAGUGUGGCAGACUGGCUUAGUUAAUUAAAUAAUUACCUCCACAAGGAAUAGUUUAAAAUACUUAGAAUUGAUCAUUCAAGAGGAAAAUUCUCUCCAGUAAGGUUGAAAUAAUAAAAUGACUUUGGGGGAGAAUAAUUUAGAGAAGCCCUGUGGCAAGCAGAACUCUAGGAUUCGCAUCUGCACAGGAGAUGUGUUCCCAAGAUGUGGAGCAAUUAUUUUCAUUUUGCAUAACGUUCCAUGCUUCUCCCCAAAGAAGUUGUCAGACCUAAGAUAAAAGUUGACUUUUGGGGGGGUGGGUAUGGGGGACCUUUGGGAUAGCAUUGAAAAUGUAAACAAGGAAAAUACCUAAUUAAAAAUAAAAGUUGACUUUGCCUCAGCAGUGGGAGGCAUAUGUGUGAUAGGAAAGGUUCAUGGUUUCUUUUUCAUCUGGAGACUUAUAGGAUAUGUAAGAAUUUACUAGUAAAUUGGUUGGAUGAAAUGUUGCUUCUACACUCACUGGUACUAUUUAAAAUUAUACUUUGUUUUACAUAUGUAUGGAUUUCAGUUAGAUGUGUAUUUGUUUUAAGUGUGUGUAAUUAAAGAAAAAUGAUUUUUGUGUGUAUAAAAGUCAUUCAAUAAAGCCAGUAACUACCAUUUUACUUAUUAAUUAUGACAGUUUUCAUACAACUUCAAAAAUAAUACAUUUGACUCAUACUCUAAAUGGUAAAGCUUAUUUUUAAUAGUCUAAAGGAUUACCUUAUACU